rnacentral:rRNA from 1 species
UACAGAGGGUGCAAGCGUUAAUCGGAUUUACUGGGCGUAAAGCGUGCGUAGGCGGUUCGUUAAGUUCGUUGUGAAAGCCCCGGGCUCAACCUGGGAAUGGCAAUGGAAACUGGCGGGCUGGAGUAUGGCAGAGGGGGGUGGAAUUCCGCGUGUAGCAGUGAAAUGCGUAGAGAUGCGGAGGAACACCGAUGGCGAAGGCAGCCCCCUGGGCCAAUACUGACGCUCAGGCACGAAAGCGUAGGGAGCAAACAGG